CUCAUUUUGGAUUAGCAAAAAAUGAAAAGGGCAUACAGCUAGAAACUUUUGGUUGGGUAGAAAUGUGAAUUCCCUCGGGUCAUCCUCAGGUCACCUGGGAGUUCUUAUGCUUGUCAUUUAAUAUCAAGAAAGUAUCAAUCACAAAGUCAACAGAUGGAAUCAAAAGUACCCUGCCAUUGUGACUCAGAAUUCUGGGAAGCUUUAGGAACUAUGGGUGACGAAGUAACCACCAGAGGAUCUAAAACAAUGGAGUAAGGUUGUACUUGGCAGAGACACCACUUACCUGAAAUUGGAAUAGUUGGUGCCCCCAGAUAUCCUGUCUGGCGAGCCACGGCACCAUGUGAUUGCCCAUGAUUUGAGAGGCUAAGGCGAUUUGAAAUCGCCACCAAGCCCCCAUUCUCACACCGUUCUUCUUUUCCCCUAACAUGGUGUAAAGACUUAUGCUGUAAUAGUACUUUGGAACUGUUCAGGAAUUAGGCAUUCAUUGUGGGAAUAGAUUGAUUGAGAAGCAAUUGCUGGGUGACAUACGAGCUUGUUCAGACCUCAUAAGGUCGAUGGCCUUAUCUUGCUCUUCCUUGAUUUCCAAGAUCUUCACAAACUAAAUCUGCUGAAUCUAUCAGAAAAUAAUUGGAUAUCGUUGUCAUGUGGUUCAGUUUCAUGUCAGCACAAACAUUUUGUUUUCUGCAUUGCUUUUCUGAAGAACUGAAUACUAUGACUUGUUUGUAAAGGAACCAGGAAGAGCAGAGAAAACAAUUGCUAGUUCGAUUGAACGACAGUAACAAAGGAAGAAUCCAUCUCAGCCUUCGCUGGUAUUGUGAUCAUUGAUUGAUCACCUAGAGAUACCAAUGAAGCUGUCACCAUAGACAACGAGAAGGAGCUCCAAAUUGGACAUGAACUGGGAGCUUCUGGAACCAUGGCCGGGAUAAAAAAUUGGGGUCCUGACAAUAAAGAAAUUGGAUUCGAAUCAGCGAGAACCAAAGAAUAUGUGGAAGGAGA